UCCUGAUGUGUGUCGAGUCUGCUGUCUGUACCGCAGCAGGACACCGUUUUAAUCCCAUUAUAACUGCUGCAAUGAACGUGCAUGUGAAACUCUUCACGACACUCUUUUCAACCCGGCUGUUUGGACAUGUACAGUCGGUGAAACC